CUUCCCACCAGGAAUAAUUAGACACAUGGGGGAAAGAAGAGUAUGUGUGGUGGUGCAUCAUUCAUACGAAGGGGUCCCCAUUCUGUGACACAAGCACAAGAAGACGAAGAAGAGGCCACGCCAUCUGUCAUUAAGAAACA
ensembl:ncRNA F57C7.9 ncRNA